UAGACACUAAUAUGUAUAAAACAGAUAACUAAUAAGAACCUGCUGUAUAAAAAAUAAAGAAAUUAAAUUAAAAAAAAACAAAACAACAAAAAAGAAAAUGUGUCUUCAUAUUCACACUUCAAAACAAGACAGAUUCUAAUUACAUCAGUAAAAAUACGGGGGCUGGAAAUAAUAAACAGUAUGUGGUCAUCAUAGAUGGUAAGUGAAAAGUAUCAUUCAUAGCUAAUACCUACUUAGUGCUUACUAUGUCAAGCACUGUUUUAAGCCUUUUACAUAUCUUAACUCAUCAUGACCCACUAUGAGGUAGGUAUUAGUAUUAUCCUCAUUUUACAGACGAGGAAACUAAGAUACAAAGAAGUUACACACCUUGUCCAAAAUAUCUAUUAUUUAAGAUAUGUAGCUUCUCAUUGAUGGUCAUUUCACUUACUCCAUUUUCUUUAUUGCUUCAUUUAAUAACCAAAAAAUAUUUCACAGGGCUUUCAGGAGUUUACUUGCAACCUUAGUCUUUCUAGGACUAGUUACUCUCUCAAAAUUUGGGGUUUUCAGCUAUGAUUUAUCAAAAUGGAGUUUUCAGAAACUCUCAGCUUGAGAAGCUGAUAUUAUGAUGGACAGAUGCCCAAAUAUUUCACAGAAUCAGAGCCAGAGCAGCCAACACAGAUUGGGCUGGACAGAAAUGGUAGCAAAGUUAAGACUUUAAUUCAGUCCUAAAUGAUCGAAGGGACCAGAUCAGGAGAAAGACAGGGAAGGACAUUUAAGGCACUGAACACAGGUAUUGGUCAAAGUAUUAGGAAGAGCCAGAAUCUGUGUAUGCCUGUGACAAUGUAUGUGUAUGGAAAACAGCAGGAAAUACGGUUGGAGAAAUAGACAGGGUCCCAGUCAAGAAGAACUUCCCAUGCCACACUAAACAGUAUGACAUUAAAGGGUUUAUGCUGGGAGUCACAGGAUCAGAUUGGAUUCCAGAAAGGACACACUGUCACUGUCUUCCACACUCCAUCCUCACCUCGUCACUCACCACCAUCAGCUCCAGCACUCAGUUCAUCCAUCCUCUACCAUGAUUUGGAGACUAUUAAACCAGUCGGGAUCUGAAACAAAGUCUGUGGCAGAGAGAAGAGAAUGGAUCCAAGGGGUAAAUAAGAAGUAGAAUCAACAGGACUUUUAUACAGGAAGGAGCUGACAUUUCUGGGGUGUGAAUCUGGAUGGGUCAGGGUACCACUCCCUGAGACAGAAGACUCACAGGAAAACAUGAAGAGGGGAGGCGGUGACUUCAGUCUGAAACAUACAAGGUUUCAGGGGCUUGAUGAACACCAGACUCGUGUGCCCACUAGGCAGCCAAAGAGGAGGCUAAGCUUCAGGGGGUUGAGCUGAUCUUACUGAGACAGAAGAACUCACAAAAGGACACUAAGAAAAAAUAACCAGAGGCUGAGAAAAGAGAAAGUUGCAAUGUCAAAGGAAGUUAAGGAACGAGAAAAUUUCAGAAAGGAGGGUGUGGUGAGUUUCUAAAAGGAGGGUAUAGUCAGAACUGGAUGCUACAGGAGACCGUGUGAAAUAAGGACUGAAAAGGGCUCAUUCAAUCUGGCAAUGAUGAGGCCUCUGGGGUAAAAGCAGGAAUUAUAAGGCAGAGACAGAAGCCAGAUUAAACAUAGGGAAGGGAAAAAAUGGGAGGUGACCGAGGGGAGACAAAGAAGGUAGAAAAAUGUUGGCUCAGUUUGGCAAGAGAUAGACACUGAUACUGAGGUCUCACUGAAGAAGUCUGUGCUGAGAGGAGCGAGGCCCCAGAAACAGGAGAAGGGAGCCUACACCCAUGCAGGAGGACCAGUCUUGAACAGAAGAAGGGAAAGGUCUUGCACCAAGACAGGAUGGAAGAAGGUAAGAAUGUAGGUGGGCAAAGAUGAGCUGGUGGAGGGAGAGAGAAGCAUUGUGGGAUACCUGUCCACUGGUUCUACUUUCUCCAAGAGGCAGGCAGGAAGGGCACCUGCAGAGAGUACUGAAGCCAGGGGCAGUAGAAGGGAGGAGAGGAAAAGUUUUGGAGUAGUUCUUCCAGGAACAGGAGAAGGAACUGAGUAGGUAAGUACCAUAGACGAUUAAGUAGUACCGAGUGCCACUGGGGUUGGGUUUUGUGCUUUUCCCUGAGUUGUGUCGUGCAGCCCAAAUGCAGAAAAAGGAAGCAAAUGGUUGGACUGAUCUAAGGUAAGGUGUCUGCAAGGUGGAUAUUCGGGAAGACAAAGGGCACAGGAGAUGGCACAUAUUGGCUUACAAUGAUUAAAAUAAGGAAUCAUGGGGCCCAAGGCUGGAUAGACAAGUUAUUAAAGUUUCAAGACUGACAGAAGGGACCAGAGGGUUUAUUCAUAAAGAGCAGGUGUGCAGGGUGUGAGGGAGUAUAAACAGGAGAGUCAAAGACUGUGUUCUGAGAUUGGGAUGCUGCAUAUUUAAGAUUUUAAAAGCAGAACAGACCUGGGUCAUGAUAAGUCCAGGCUGCGAGUCGCAAGAGCGGGGCACUGUUACAGGUCACAGUAAUACAAUUAUAGUAUCAAUAUUAUCCCAUUUCACUAAUGAGCCAAAGAUUAGGUGACUUAUUCAAAGUCACAGCUAAUUAACGGCAAGGCCAAGGUUUUAAUCCAGACCUUUGCUGCCAAAUCCUGUGAUCUUUUCAUACAAAAUCAUUUCACGUGGUACUCUUUUCUUCCAACCUUUGAAUAAGAAAUAACAAGAUGGUGAUUUUGCUUUCAGUCUAGAACCAAGUUAUAAAUAAAAGAAAGCUAUAAAUCUGAUUUAAAAUGCAAGUGAAAGUGACAGUAUUAUUUUCAGUAUUCUGGUUAUUACCUCUAGUGUAGAAGCUUAUGAAAUUCUGUUAAAAUGUACCUUUUUACACAGUGUUUUCUUAUGAUAAAAGCAUUAAAUAUAAAUAGCUAUCUAACAUGGCAACAAAAAUAGUUAAGAACCAUUUUAGCUUAUGAAGCAUAAAUCCAGCCUGAAGUGGCAGGUCGGCCAUUAUGUCACUACACUAUACCCCACUAGCUAUCAAGUACCAGGCUGCUUUAGGAUGAUUCAGGAAGAUAAGGAGAUAUAACAACACAUAUUUCCAACCCAAGUAUAUUUAGGUAUAUACCCAAAAGUGAACACCUGAUUUGUUCAAAUGUAAAUGGGGCUGCCAUUUUCUUUUAGAAGAAUCACUUGAGCCCAGAAAAUCCAAGGAAGCUAAGGAUGCUGGCGGCGGGCAUAAAUGGCAAAUUAGAACCCUACUGCAGUUAGUUACUGCUAACCCCAUCCCGGGCAGCCCUUAGGAUAUUAUACAUUAACAGGCAUAUUCAGAUGGAACGAUGGUGGUAAACAUAAUUCAAUCUGGAAUAAUUCAUUACAAAAGGCAAAUGAAAAAAUGUCAAAUUUGCUACCUAUGACAUCAGCUAUUACUGCCCUUUACUAUCUAUUAAAGGGAGGAGCCUGCAGGAAAACAUGUUCUUCACACAUUCUCACAUACGGUUAUACCAUAGCUAUUUAUUUCACCCACUCUUGAAGCAGCAGGGUUUUCCUCUGUCAGCCAAGGCCCAUCCAACCCAGCUUAUCAAGAUUCUCCAACUGUUCCUGGGAUUCCUAUUCUCCCUAUUAGUAGCUACUAGCUUGCUUUUCCUGAGUAAUUACUUGCCAGGUUAGGACUUUACCCGGAUUGCUAUUUAAUCCUCACAUCAGCCACGUGAAGUAGGUACUGUUACCAUCCCCCAUCCCCAUUCUACAGAUGAGGAGAGUGGGGCACGGUCACAAGAUCACACAGAUGGUAAGGCCUGGCUCUUAGCCACUCCCACAUACCCUCUCCAUGCCUCAGCCUUUACUACCUCCCCAUCCAGAUUUCACCCAACUUCUGCUCUACAUCUCAGAGGUCACAUGUUCGGGAAAGCUCCCCACUUACUUGUAUCCACACUGAUCACCCCCUUUCUCAGAGGAAGCUUCUUCAUGCCCGGAUAGAAGCCUUGCUUUGUGCCAGCAUCAGCACCCUCUAACAUUCAUGGGGAGGACCUUGGGGAGACCAACCGGGCCUGUCUGCCGGGAAACUGGUGUUGACAGAUGAGACAGUGUCUUCACAGAAAUGAGGUUGGGUUAAAUAGCAUCAGCACUUUAAAAAUUCUAAGACGUAAUCCAAGCCCUGGUUCCUCAAGGUGUUCAGGGAUAGGGAUUCCUGCAAAUCUGAAUUACGUCUUUUCUUUAAUCUCAUGUGCUCAAACCUGGUAGACUUGAAAGACUAGCAAAAAUGAAUGUUAGAGCGGUUAGAGACAUUUGUGCGCAAUGAUGUUAACCCCUUCCAGCCUACUCCUCCAAGGCCAUGCAGGCAACUUAGAGAACAGCAAGGACUCCAACUCCUUCAGCUGUGGGAGGAAGGAAGAACACUGCCCCCGUGUUCGGAGAAUCUUAGUUCUGCACCAGGCGCUGUCACCUACCAGCCGCGUGACAACCAGCAAAUCACUACGAUCUCUCUGGGCCUCAGUUUCCACCAGUAAAACAAGAGCAAUGAUACCUAAGGCUGUUGUAAGAACUAAACGAGCUGGCAGAUGAAAGUUUGUAAAAUCAAACAUCCACUGAUGGCGUCCAAGACCACUGUCAACAGUGUAUCUUAUUCAAAGGCACCAACUAGCAAAAGACCACAAGCAUAAUGGGUUCUGAUGCAUCUGAAAAUGUUUGUUUGACCAAGGAAUAGCUGAAGCUCAUCUAAACUGCACCAGGAAAACCAGUAAACCCAACAAAACGUAUCACCUAUAUACAUCGACUGCCAGACAACUUAAAGGUAAAGAAGGAGAAGGAUCAUGUUGAAUAAAAGCACUGUAGGGUUUCCCUGGUGGCGCAGUGGUGUUGGGAGUCCGCCUGCCGAUGCGGGUUCGUGCCCCGGUC